AAUAGAUCAAUAUCAAUUCUUCCUGGGUAUAUUCGAGCACUUCCCCUUUGAGCUCUUUGCGGCCCGUGGAGUUCAAAUACCGCGGUACAGGUCACUCAUGCUUGGCUUGUGGACCCAUUUGAAAUCCACAAAUCUACCCUAACGCUAGGCGAGUUGUUAAAAAUUUAUUUUAAAGCACAUUGAUAUUUAAGAAUCGUUUUCGAUUGUGAUAGAUGAAAAAGAACGACUCCUCACACCUUAAUAACUUCUGGUAGGGAAAGAGAUCUGUAGCAAAUGCUUUGAGUCUCUGUGCGUGCCUUUCACUACAUCCUAUCUCUUUUUCGAUCCACUCUUUCCUUGUACACGACGUAUCACCCCUCUGGCGAAAACGGGAUCUCGAGAGCGUGAUCCAUUGUCCAAGCCGAAAUGAAUGACGUAAGAUUUCAGUCUUCAAACUUCCCAGCCUUUUGAUUCCCCUCUUUAUCAAGUCUGCAAUGGUGUCCCAGUCCUCAGUCGGCUCGAUGUUUGUGAUUCCUGCACUGUCUUGUUCGACCUGG